AGUGAACGCUGGCGGUAGGCCUAACACAUGCAAGUCGAACGGCAGCACAGUAAGAGCUUGCUCUUACGGGUGGCGAGUGGCGGACGGGUGAGGAAUACAUCGGAAUCUACUUUUUCGUGGGGGAUAACGUAGGGAAACUUACGCUAAUACCGCAUACGACCUACGGGUGAAAGCAGGGGAUCUUCGGACCUUGCGCGAAUGAUUGAGCCGAUGUCGGAUUAGCUAGUGGGCGGGGUAAAGGCCCACCAAGGCGACGAUCCGUAGCUGGUCUGAGAGGAUGAUCAGCCACACUGGAACUGAGACACGGUCCAGACUCCUACGGGAGGCAGCAGUGGGGAAUAUUGGACAAUGGGCGCAAGCCUGAUCCAGCCAUACCGCGUGGGUGAAGAAGGCCUUCGGGUUGUAAAGCCCUUUUGUUGGGAAAGAAAAGCAGCAGGUUAAUACCCCGCUGUUCUGACGGUACCCAAAGAAUAAGCACCGGCUAACUUCGUG
rnacentral:rRNA from 1 species